rnacentral:rRNA from 1 species
AAAGUCUGACCGAGCAACGCCGCGUGAGUGAAGAAGGUUUUCGGACCGUAAAGCUCUGUUGUAAGUCAAGAACGUGUGUGAGAGUGGAAAGUUCACACAGUGACGGUAGCUUACCAGAAAGGGACGGCUAACUACGUGCCAGCAGCCGCGGUAAUACGUAGGUCCCGAGCGUUGUCCGGAUUUAUUGGGCGUAAAGGGAGCGCAGGCGGUCAGGAAAGUCUGGAGUAAAAGGCUAUGGCUCAACCAUAGUGUGCUCUGGAAACUGUCUGACUUGAGUGCAGAAGGGGAGAGUGGAAUUCCAUGUGUAGCGGUGAAAUGCGUAGAUAUAUGGAGGAACACCAGUGGCGAAAGCGGCUCUCUGGUCUGUCACUGACGCUGAGGCUCGAAAGCGUGGGUAGCGAACAGGAUUAGAUACCCUGGUAGUCCACGCCGUAAACGAUGAGUGCUAGGUGUUAGGCCCUUUCCGGGGCUUAGUGCCGGAGCUAACGCAAUAAGCACUCCGCCUGGGGAGUACGACCGCAAGGUUGAAACUCAAAGGAAUUGACGGGGGCCCGCACAAGCGGUGGAGCAUGUGGUUUAAUUCGAAGCAACGCGAAGAACCUUACCAGGUCUUGACAUCCC